rnacentral:rRNA from 1 species
CAGCAGCCGCGGUAAUACGGAGGAUCCAAGCGUUAUCCGGAUUUAUUGGGUUUAAAGGGUGCGCAGGCGGAAGAUUAAGUCGGCGGUGAAAUUUUGCAGCUCAACUGUAAAAGUGCCAUCGAUACUGGUUUUCUUGAGUGUGGAUGAAGUAGGCGGAAUUUGUGGUGUAGCGGUGAAAUGCAUAGAUAUCACGAGGAACUCCGAUUGCGCAGGCAGCUUACUAGGCCAUAACUGACGCUCAGGCACGAAGGCGUGGGGAUCAAACAGGAUUAGAUACCCUGGUAGUCCACGCAGUAAACGAUGAUUACUCGUUGUUUGCGAUACACAGUAAGCGGCUUAGCGAAAGCGUUAAGUAAUCCACCUGGGGAGUACGUUCGCAAGAAUGAAACUCAAAGGAAUUGACG